rnacentral:tRNA from 2 species
GGGGCUGUAGCUCAGUUGGCUAGAGCACCACAUUUGCAAUGUGGGGGUCAGGAGUUCGAGUCUCCUCAGCUCCACCA